AUUGAACGCUGGCGGCAGGCCUAAUACAUGCAAGUCGAGCGGGGUUUUCGGACCUAGCGGCGGACGGGUGAGUAAUGCGUAGGAAGCUACCCGAUAGAGGGGGAUACCAGUUGGAAACGACUGUUAAUACUGCAUAAUGUCUACGGACCAAAGUGUGGGAGCGUCGGGACACAUGCGAUCGUAUGCGCCUAAGUGUGAUUAGCUAGUUGGUGAGGUAAUGUCUAACCAAGGGGACGAUCCCUAGCUGGUUUGAGAGGAUGAUCAGCCACACUGGAACUGAGACACGGUCCAGACUCCUACGGGAGGCAGCAGUGGGGAAUAUUGGACAAUGGGCGCAAGCCUGAUCCAGCCAUGCCGCGUGUGUGAAGAAGGCCUUCGGGUUGUAAAGCACUUUCAGUAGGGAGGAAGCGUUGUGUGUUAAUAGUACACAGCGUUGACGUUACCUACAGAAGAAGCACCGGCUAACUCUGUGCCAGCAGCCGCAGUAAAAC
rnacentral:rRNA from 1 species